rnacentral:rRNA from 1 species
UACGGAGGGUGCAAGCGUUAAUCGGAAUUACUGGGCGUAAAGCGUGCGCAGGCGGUUUUGUAAGUCUGUCGUGAAAUCCCCGGGCUUAACCUGGGAAUGGCGAUGGAGACUGCAAGGCUAGAGUUUGGCAGAGGGGGGUAGAAUUCCACGUGUAGCAGUGAAAUGCGUAGAGAUGUGGAGGAACACCGAUGGCGAAGGCAGCCCCCUGGGUCAAAACUGACGCUCAUGCACGAAAGCGUGGGGAGCAAACAGG